GACGGAGGGGGCAAGCGUUGUCCGGACUCACUGGGCGUAAAGGGUGCGUAGGCGGCCAACUAAGUCAGACGUGAAAUCCCUCGGCUUAACCGGGGAACUGCGUCUGAUACUGGAUGGCUCGAGUUUGGGAGAGGGAUGCGGAAUUCCAGGUGUAGCGGUGAAAUGCGUAGAUAUCUGGAGGAACACCGGUGGCGAAGGCGGCAUCCUGGACCGGCAUUGACGCUGAGGCGCGAAAGCCAGGGGAGCAAACGGG
rnacentral:rRNA from 1 species